rnacentral:rRNA from 1 species
ACACACCGCCCGUCACACCACGAGAGUUUGUAACACCCGAAGUCGGUGAGGUAACCUUUUUGGAGCCAGCCGCCUAAGGUGGGAUAGAUGAUUGGGGUGAAGUCGUAACAAGGUAGCCGUAUCGGAAGGUGCGGCUGGAUCACCUCCUUUCUAAGGAA